GCGAAGGUGGCGGAAUUGGUAGACGUGCUAGCUUCAGGUGUUAGUGUUCUUACGGACGUGGGGGUUCCAAGUCCCCCCCCUCGCACCA
rnacentral:tRNA from 1 species